rnacentral:rRNA from 1 species
GAAUUGUUCGCAAUGGGCGCAAGCCUGGCGACGCAACGCCGCGUGGAGGAUGAAGAUCUUCGGGUCGUAAACUCCUUUCGAUCGAGACGAAUUCCCCCGGGGUGAAUAAUCCCGGGGGUUGACGGUACCGAGAGAAGAAGCCCCGGCUAACUCCGUGCCAGCAGCCGCGGUAAUACGGGGGGGGCAAGCGUUGUUCGGAAUUACUGGGCGUAAAGGGCUCGUAGGCGGCCAACUAAGUCAGACGUGAAAUCCCUCGGCUCAACCGGGGAACUGCGUCUGAUACUGGAUGGCUUGAGUUUGGGAGAGGGAUGCGGAAUUCCAGGUGUAGCGGUGAAAUGCGUAGAUAUCUGGAGGAACACCGGUGGCGAAGGCGGCAUCCUGGACCAAUACUGACGCUGAGUGAGCGAAAGCCAGGGGAGCAAACGGG